GGUGAGUUGUUUGUUGCUGUGGUAAACAAAGAAGUGUACUGAAUCUUUUGGACUACACAGAGUGAUGUAGUAUUGACUGUGAUGCUGAUUUGAGUUGUCUCAUUCUGUAUUUUUGUGCUUUGUCUUUUGUUACACAGAGUGAAAGAGAUCUUUGGUUUUGCCUUUGCUGACUGCUGAUCUGAUCGUCUCAAGUCUGGUGACCUGCUGCAGAAAACCCUCUCCUCUAUCGUUGACAAGCAAUUGACAAGCAAUUUCAGUCUGUCCUAUCACUCUCCCUCUCCCUGCUCCAUC